GUGUCAGCCGCCGCGGUAAUACGGAGGAUCCGAGCGUUAUCCGGAUUUAUUGGGUUUAAAGGGAGCGUAGGUGGAUAUAUAAGUCAGUUGUGAAAGUUUGCGGCUCAACCGUAAAAUUGCAGUUGAUACUGUAUGUCUUGAGUGUACAAGAGGUGGGCGGAAUUCGUGGUGUAGCGGUGAAAUGCUUAGAUAUCACGAAGAACUCCGAUUGCGAAGGCAGCUCACUAGGGUACAACUGACACUGAGGCUCGAAAGUGUGGGUAUCAAACAGGAUUAGAUACCCUGGUAGUCCACACAGUAAACGAUGAAUACUCGCUGUUUGCGAUAUACAGUAAGCGGCCAAGCGAAAGCAUUAAGUAUUCCACCUGGGGAGUACGCCGGCAACGGUGAA
rnacentral:rRNA from 1 species